rnacentral:rRNA from 1 species
AUCCUGACUGUGCAAAGGUAGCAUAAUAAUUANUCUUUUAAUUGAAGGCUGGAAUGAAUGAAUAUAUGAGGGAUUAGUUUUAUUUUAUAUAUUAUUAUAAUUUGAUUNNUAAGUAAAAAAGCUUAAUUUUUUUUUUGGGACGAUAANACCCUAUAGAACUUUAUUUUUUUCUAUUGUUUAUAAUUUUUAGUUUUUAUUAUUAUUUAUUUANAUAAAUNUUUUGCUGGGGAGGUAAAUAAAUUNNACUUUAUUUUUUCNAUUCAUUGUUUUAUGAUUAUUUUGAUCCAUUGUAUGAUUAUAAGAUUAAGUUACCUUAGGGAUAACAGCGUAAUUUUGAUGGGGAGUUCAUAUUUAUAUCAAAGUUUGCGACCUCGAUGUUGAAUUAAGAUAAGAUUAGGGGGCAA